rnacentral:rRNA from 1 species
CAACUUUCAACAACGGAUCUCUUGGCUCUCGCAUCGAUGAAGAACGCAGCGAAAUGCGAUAAGUAAUGUGAAUUGCAGAAUUCAGUGAAUCAUCGAAUCUUUGAACGCACCUUGCGCCCCUUGGUAUUCCGAGGGGCAUGCCUGUUUGAGUGUCA